GUUAUCUCCCAAGCUUGCACAGCUAGCUCAUGUAUCUGAAGAAGAAAACUUCUCCAACAGUGGCUCUUUGUCUUGCAUCAGAACCUUUUAAAGGAUUUGUUUAAAAGGGACUGAAGAGCACCGCCUACAAAAUUACCCAUUCAGCUACAGGCAACAUUCUUUUGGACAAAGCUGCAGAACCAGCAUGACUAAGCACCAGCAAAAGGUCAGAGCUAAAGGAACAGAUCCAGUAUGGAGUCAGAAUAAAGGAAACCUCAUUUUAAAUGGAGUUAAGGGGCCAGAAUAGGGAGCCCUCUGCACUACCACUUGUCAUCAAUUACAAAUCCCAACAGGAACCG